rnacentral:lncRNA from 1 species
UCUGAUGCACCUGGGCGUCCCCUCCCAUCCCCCCUCCCUGCACAGGUGCUGGAAACAUGCAUGAAGAGCUGCGGCAAGCGGUUCCACGACGAAGUGGGCAAGUUCCGCUUUCUCAACGAGCUCAUCAAGGUCGUGUCUCCCAAGGGGACUCUGCUGUGAGAGCCACUUUCCCCAGCCCAGUUUGCUGCUAGGAGACGGAGAGUAGGCCCAGGGCCUCCCAGUUCCACCCUCACCCCUCCCUGGGCAGCCUGGAGACCUCUGGCUCCUCUUUCCUGGGAUGUCAAGGCUAAGUCCCCAGAGCCGACUAUGAGCAGGCCUGUCCCUCAUGUCAGUUCUGCAUCCUCACCAUGGUGCCAUCUAGCAGGUGGGGAAACAGACACUGAGGGCUGACCCAGCUAAUAAGUGGCAGGGGUAGUAGGUGAACUCAGUCUACCCCAGGCUGGUUGGGCGGGGCUAUGAGGACCCUGUAGGCUAGAGGGCUUCCCGGGGAGUCCUGGGGAGGCAGUAGGGUGUGGACAGGGCUUGAGACUGAAGUGAGUGGGGCUGGGCAGUAUCAAAGGCCUCCCCACUGUGUCCCUGAAGUAUCUGGGCUCU